AAAGUUGAGGAAAUGAAGAGGAAGAAAUUGAAGAUGAAAAGAAGAGCUCUGGGAGGAAAAAAUUCCAUUUGUAAGAUGUGUGGACAAAAGAAAAACAGCCAUAGAGUGCCAAUGUGGAGUGGAAUAAGUCAGUAUGACUUAAACAUGGUCAAUUGAAGUGUUUGAAUGCCCCUCCAGAAAGCAGAACAAUCUUUGAAUUUGCAGGAAAGAGUAUAAAAUUUGCUGUUAAAAUAUCAUAACAGCUAGACAAAGAUUAAAUAACAACUACAUGUACAUCUAAAGAAUUCUUUUGUCAUAAUAGUGAUUCAUGUGCUAGUACAUGUGACAAGUGCUAUAACGACCUAAUAUAAGUGUGUUUUAGGAGCAUGUUGACUCUAUUGUAAAUGUAUUGACUCCUUAUAUGACCUCAUUUAUAUAUAACAUUAAAUGAAUGGUAGUGUAGUGACUUGAAAUGUGUGUUAGUAGUAUAGCUCGUUAUGUGUGGUAAUUUUGUUAUUUGUUUUACAUGUAUGAUAGUACAUAUAGUAUGGUGACUCAUGUGUUGGGAAUUAAUGUAUAAUUUUAUGUGUGUUACUGGUAUAACUCAUAAUGUGUGUAAAUAUUGUUUUUUGUAAUAUAUAUUUGUAUAGUGUAGUGACUCGACAUGUGUGUUAUGAGUGUAGCUUAUGAUGUGUGGUAAUUUUGUUAUUUGUUAUGUGAGUUGUACAUGUAGUAUGGUGACUGGUGUGUCGGGAUUGUAUAAUUUUAUAUGUGUUACUUGUAUAACUCAUCGUGCGAUUUAAAACUGUUAUUUGUAAGUUAUAUAUUAGAAGUGUAGUGACUCGACAUGUGUGUAAGUAGUGUAGUGACUCAACAUGUGUGUUAGUAGUGUAGUGAAUCAACAUGUGUGUUAGUAGUGUAGCUUAUUAUGUGUGGUAAUUUUGUUAUUUGUUAUGUGAGUCGUACAUGUAGUAUGGUGACUCAUGUGUUGGGAAUGUAUAAUUUUAUGUGUGUUACUUGUAUUGCUCAUCGUGUGAUUUAAAAUUGUUAUUUGUAAGGUAUAUAUCAGUAGUGUAGUGACUCAACAUGUGUGUAAGUAGUGUAGUGUCUUGACAUGUGUGUAAGUAGUGUAGUUACUUGACAUGUGUGUUAGUUCUGUAGUGACUCGACAUGUGUGUUAGUAGUGUAGCUUAUUAUGUGUGGUACUUUUGUUAUUUGUUAUGUGAGUUGUACAUGUAGUAUGGUGACUCAUUUGUUGGGAAUGUAUAAUUUUAUGUGUGUUACUGGUAUAGCUCAUUGUGUGUUUUAAUAUUGUUACAUGUAUUUGUAAUACAUAUUUUGUAUUGUUAUUUUGAUUUGUUUGUUGUACAUGUAGCAUGGGAUUCAUUUUGUGUUGGGAAUGUAGAAUUUUACCUGCGGUAGUGUACAUGUAGCUCAUUUUGUGUGCUAAUAUUGUUAUUUUUAUGUGUAAUAGUCAUGUAGUGACUCAAUAUGUGUGUAAGUAGUGUAGCUCAUUAUGUGUUUUCAUGUUGAGUUAGUUUAGAAGAGUGUUGACUUACUGUGUAAGUUAGAGUAGCCUCUUGCUAUGUGUGAGCAUAAUAUAAAAAGACACUUUUUUAUGAUGUGUACAUGUAUAUAAUUAUUAA